AUUUCCCUGCGAUGUGCGUGAGGGCAUACAUUUCCUUGAACCAAUAAGUUUGCUUCGGUUGUCAGGAGCAGUAACAGGUGCGAGCGGUCUCUUAGUCAGACUGCACCCGAAGUUACCCGAGAUGACCACCUUGUUUUCAAGGUUCAAGCGGACUGAGCCGAAGCGGCAUUUGCGGGGUUCCU
rnacentral:other from 1 species